GCCAACAAUUUUUUUUUUUUAUUUGCAGCAUUUGAAUUUGCUUUUAGCAUUGGUUGAUAUAAUUACCAAAAGAGUAUUUUUAAAUCAAAAAUUUGACUAAAAUUAAAAAAGGUUUUUGAAACUUAACUAAAUUGUAAUAGCUCUGCUGAUGUUGACCCGUGUUAAAGUUCUUGUGCUUGUCCUGCUGGAUGUUUCUUGUGACUGCAUUGUUGAUCAUGAAUUUUUAAUGCGCUAAUGAAUUUAAUUUAUGUGAAUGUUCGUGAAAUUAUGUAAACAUGUCAUUUAAGCCCAGCAAAAUUAGUUUUUAAGUAAAAGUGCUAUUUUAUAUUUUAUCAUUUCGGUUGUUUCAAGUAGCAGUAUAAAUUAUGCAGGGAUAUAUUCGUAAUCUGACCUGUGAAGCCAACUAAAUUUGCCAAGACCCAGGUUAUCCAGGAAAUACAUCCAGAAAUAAAAGUAUAUGCUGGGAUGGGGCGUAUAUGGAUAUCAUCAGAUCGAAAUAAAGAUGAAAAUGUUGGACAUCCUUUUUGGAAGAUUGUAAGCAUGAAAAAAUUGAUGGUGGUAUCCUUGGUUGUCAAAAACAAGAAGCUAUCAGCUGAUAUAAUGGUUAGUCAGUAAUUAACAAUAAAUUUAAUUUUUACAUUCA